GUGACCUCAGAUCAGGUAGGACUACCCGCUGAACUUAAGCAUAUCAACUGCGAGUGAAGAGGGAUAAGCUCAAAUUUAAAAUCUGUCAGUCUUUGGCUGUCCGAGUUGCAUCUAGAGAGUGUAUAUGCGCAGUACCAUGUAUAGUCUCUGAAUGGAGCGUCGUAGAGGAAGAGAAUCCUCAUUCACAUGGACUGCGGGGCUUUGUGAUGCGCUCACAAAGAGGCUAGUUGUUUGGGAAUCAGAUCAAAAUGC
rnacentral:rRNA from 1 species